rnacentral:rRNA from 2 species
GAUAGCGGAUAGUACCGUGAGGGAAUGGUGAAAAGUACCCCGGGAGGGGAGUGAAAUAGUACCUGAAACCGUGUGCCUACAAGCCGUGGGAGCGUCGGAGUGGAGCUUGCUUCACUCUCGUGACUGCGUGCCUUUUGAAGAAUGAGCCUGCGAGUUUGCGGUGUGUUGCGAGGUUAACCCGUGUGGGGAAGCCGUAGCGAAAGCGAGUCCGAAU